AAAUUCAACGAAGCAUAAAGCAAAAAGACAAGCCCAAGAAAAGUAUAAAUAAUUAAGUGCAAGUGGUAGGAGAGCGUUGCAUUCAGCGUCGAAGGUGUACCGGUAAGGAGCGCUGGAGCGAAUGCAAGUGAGCAUGCAGGCAUGAGUAGCGAUAAUUGGGGUGAGAAUCCCCAACGCCGUAAACCCAAGGUUUCCUACGCGAUGCUCGUCAUCGUAGGGUUAGCCGGGUCCUAAGCAAAGUCCGAAAGGGGUAUGCGAUGGAAAAUUGGUUAAUAUUCCAAUGCCAACUAUAAUGUGCGAUGGAAGGACGCUUAGAGUUAAGCAAGCUAGCGGAUGGUAGUGCUAGUCGAAAGGUGUAGGUUAAGAUCCAGGCAAAUCCGGAUCUUUUUAAGCCGAGACCCCACAGGCGUUUGAAGUUCUUCGGAAUGGAUAGCGAAUUGCUGAUACUGUCGAGCCAAGAAAAGUUUCUAAGUUUAGUUAUAGUUGCCCGUACCGUAAACCGACACAGGUGGGUGGGAUGAGUAUUCUAAGGCGCGUGGAAGAACUCUCUUCAAGGAACUCUGCAAAAUAGCACCGUAUCUUCGGUAUAAGGUGUGCCUAACUUUGUGAAGGAUUUACUCCGUAAGCAUUGAAGGUUACAACAAAGAGUCCCUCCCGACUGUUUACCAAAAACACAGCACUCUGCUAACUCGUAAGAGGAUGUAUAGGGUGUGACGCCUGCCCGGUGCUCGAAGGUUAAUUGAUGACGUUAGCUCUGCGAAGCGUUUGAUCGAAGCCCGAGUAAACGGCGGCCGUAACUAUAACGGUCCUAAGGUAGCGAAAUUCCUUGUCGAUUAAAUAUCGACCUGCAUGAAUGGCGUAACGAGAUGGGAGCUGUCUCGAAGAGGGAUCCAGUGAAAUUGUAGUGGAGGUGAAAAUUCCUCCUACCCGCGGCAAGACGGAAAGACCCCGUGGACCUUUACUACAGCUUGACACUGCUAUUGGGAUAAAAAUGUGCAGGAUAGGUGGGAGGCUUUGAUCCAUAGACGCCAGUUUAUGGUGAGCCGUUGUUGAGAUACCACUCUUUUUUAUUCUGAUAGCUAACUAGCUUGAGUUAUCCUCAAGUAGGACAAUGUCUGGUGGGUAGUUUGACUGGGGCGGUCGCCUCCCAAAAUGUAACGGAGGCUUACAAAGGUUGGCUCAGAACGGUUGGAAAUCGUUCGCAGAGUAUAAAGGCAAAAGCCAGCUUAACUGCGAGACAUACACGUCAAGCAGGGACGAAAGUCGGUCUUAGUGAUCCGGUGGUUCUGUGUGGAAGGGCCAUCGCUCAAAGGAUAAAAGGUACCCCGGGGAUAACAGGCUGAUCUCCCCCAAGAGCUCACAUCGACGGGGAGGUUUGGCACCUCGAUGUCGGCUCAUCGCAUCCUGGGGCUGGAGCAGGUCCCAAGGGUAUGGCUGUUCGCCAUUUAAAGCGGUACGCGAGCUGGGUUCAGAACGUCGUGAGACAGUUCGGUCCCUAUCUGCCGUGGGCGCAAGAAGAUUGAGGAGAGUUGACCCUAGUACGAGAGGACCGGGUUGAAC
rnacentral:rRNA from 1 species